CAGUGUAAGUAAAGUCAUGGUUAGGCUAGGCUAGGGCAAAUGCGCUUUGAGGAACCGCAAGGGCGACAAGGGGGAGGGGUGACGGCGUGGUUGUGCGGUCAGAGCCGCUGCGGUUUGGGAGCGGGCGAGAGGUCUUGGGGGGGAUACCGGCGGUGGCCGCGACGGCGCGGGCGCGGGCGCCGGCACGUCGGCGACGCCGUCAAGUUCGAGCUGGGCGUCUCGCUCGAGGCGCACCUCCACGAGGGCCUGCGCUGGGAGGCGCACGCGGAGCAGAGGCCGUGCCGCCUCUAGAAGCCGUGGCUCGAGGGGGGGCUCCCGACCGAGUGGUAGGGCGGGGCGAGGUUCUAGCGGUAAAAGUGCACCGUGCCGCGCUGCCACCUCGACCUGCCCCAGUCGCUCUCGCUCAUGUGCAGGCUGCUCUGCGGCUACCACUAAAUACACUUGUGUGUACGCUAAGAGCUGCGUGCCUCCCGCUCCCGCUCCCGUCGCGUCCCUCCGCUGAACCUCCGGAGUGUCCCUGGAUCUCACUAACAACACCCCGGUUGACUAAGACCUUUUUCGUGAGACACGUUUUACGAGGAAUCGACCCGACGGUUUGACCCUACCUUCGGAUGUAUACACCUAAAUCUAUAACCGGUCCCAAGCUAUUGGUAUGGACCUACAUAAAGACGAUGUGGUUAACUCUUCGGAUAGCUAUAUCAACUACCCUAAGGAAACCUCUACGGCGAACGUAUGAAAAUACCGGUAGGUUUAGGUUCAUAAUUAGGUCUACAAAUGUUUCGUGAGUACUCUCUCGAUCGAGUUUGUAAUCUCUGUGUCAAGAGACCCUUACGACUUAGAUCCCGCCGACCAUACCAAUAAUUGUGUUACCCCACCCAACUUCCGGAACCGAUACUCAAUGAAGAAUUACGUUAACUUUAGAAGUUCCGAUUACAUCACGACCAUAACCCUGUCCUCUUCAAUACCUUCUACAAUUUUCUACGUCAUGUUUCAUUCGGGUUAUAGCUACAGCAUUUUGAAGUAUUUAGCCUCCCACAACAGGAUUCCUUAAGUUUUAUAGCAGUUUUCUGAUCCUCGAAAGCAUAGUUCCUCAUGAAAAUGCCCUAACGUUUGCUAGACCGUGGUGUAAGUUUACAUCAGUUGAAGUCACUGCAAAGACAAAAGUCUUAACCAUCACCUGUAGUUCGAGGUGCCAGUCGAAAUGGUUAACCACGUCUCGGACACCGUCUAGGAUGAGCCGAACAACGACAGUUGUAGUCGUGACUAUACCAGGUGUGUCACGAACGACAAAGAAUACGCUUCCUUGGACUACUUUAUUAAAGCUCGUUGCAACGUCCUAAGUAGGUACAGUGUCUACAACUGUAGGUUUCCUUCUUCGACUGCAUGUAGCGCGGAACGGGUCCUCUGGACGGUUCGUCCGACAAUUAGCGAUCGAGGGACUGUACCAUGCUCGUCCGAACUGGGGCAAGUUCCAACUUGUAACAUCCAUCCAUUGGUCUACCGAAUACUGUACAACAUUGCGGCUUUACCUAUGAGACACUUGUGACACGGCCAUUUCGACUUACCCAAGCUGCUAUAGAGUCCGUAGGACGACGCUUCGAAAGACGACUGAACGAAUACAAAAAGAUACGACGACACCGCCGCUUCUAUGUUUAUCAAUCCAGUUACUUUCCAACCACACGAGAAAACAUGCGACAACCCUUGAUGACAUUCUAUAUCUUCUACUCAGGAAACCGGAGAAGAGUUGACAUAGGUCUAUAUUUGUAGCCUCGAUGAUGGAGGCAAAGUAUUACAUUCAACAAAAAACUGUGUUGUGAUCACAGUUUUGUGCAGAAUAUAAUACCCUAUCUACCUCAUCAAUAAUAUA
rnacentral:rRNA from 1 species